AAACGCUAGGCAACAGUUAGAGCAUUGGAAGCCUCCUAGUGGUGCUGUGUGUGCCUCCCCUGCUUUCCCAAGAGGAAGAUGAGGGUGUGAGGCCAGUGAACGACGUUUCAAGACCCAUCCCGUCCUGCCUCUGAAGCUCACUCUCGGACUUAGAGAGAAUUCCUUCCGUUCCCUCAAAGAGCGAUGCUGGCGUUACAGCAGCAGCAGAAGGCCCACGUUUGCCAGGUAGUUGCAGUUUGGUGUCCUCUGGGAUGCCCCAAGAGUCAGGGACAAGAUGACACGUCCCUUCCAGGAGCGCCGUUUCCCCAAGAGCUAGUCGGCCUCAUCGGAUCACCCGGACCCACCAGUACCAGGCCCAGCUCCAGACACAGCUAUGGGACUAAAGGCUUCAGAGCACCUGACGCGGAUCUGAAAAAUAAGCUGAAAUCCCAAUGUCUGGAUCCUUGACGGACACAGCCACACCAGUUAGGGGGCUGUCGCGAUUAUUUGAGCCAGUGGAGUCAAUGAGUUGUUGGAUUGAGCGUACUUUUUGGAAGAAGAUUCAAUAGGAUUUGCUGGUAGGCUGCACGUAAGUAUGUGAGACGGGAGCUGAAGAUGACCCCAAGGUUUUUAUUUCCGCUAGAAGAAUGAAGCUUGCCAUCCCGUCAUAAAGAGGGCUGUAAGCUUUUAGGGGAGAGAUCAAGAGUUUGGCUUUGGACGUCUGAGAUGCCUUUGAGCCUUCCAAGCGAAGAUGCUAUCACGUCUGUUGAAUAAGAUCUGCAUCUGGGCAAGAGGUCUGGGCUAGAGCUAAAAACCUGCAAGUCCUCAGUGCACGCGUGGUAUUUAAAGACUGGAGAGUGAGGAAAGAUGAGAGGGGGACUGAGGACAGAGAAUCCUGGGCCAAACCAACCUUUAGAGGUCCGGCAGACGCACCGUGGCUAGAGAAAGAUUGGGACAACCACGGGCGAGUGGUGUCCCGAUGGACCAGAAAAGAAUGUUGUUCCAAACCAAAGGGGUCAUCACCUCUGUCAGUUGCUCCUGAAAAGCUCAGGAAGAUAAAAACUGAAAACGAGGGCAACCAACUGUUCUGAUUUGCCAAGACCCUCCCUGUUUUAGCACGGAAAGUCCUGUGUUGUAAGAGAUUGCCUGAUCCCAAGCCAAGUGGCUUGGUUGGUCAUCCUGCCAGUGAGGCAAGGCCAUCGGGCCUAUUGGUCAUGAGUAGUGAGGUGAGAAAGGUUCGUGUGGGAUGUGAGGACAAAACACCUGGGCAGAGUGCAUUGGUUUUAAGAGACAAGAAGGUGGAAUUUUUGUCACAUCACACUUAUCACAACACUAUUACAUCAUUAUUCUUACAUAUUACUAAAGUCACGGAAGAAAAAAAAAUUUUUUUUUUUUUGCAGACACAUCCUAAAGUAUUUAAGAGUGAAACGUCAAGUUAUCUGCAACUUACUUGAAAAUACUUCAGCAAGGGAAAAAGGAACGAGGCAAAUAAAUGUCACGUUCAUAAUGACUAAAUUUGGGUG
rnacentral:lncRNA from 12 species